GAGAGAUAUGCAGUUCUUUUGCAACUUUGUAAAAUUGAAUGGGGCUUAUUCUUGUUCUUUCACAUAUCAGGCGUGGUGUGUGCACAAGAUUCAGGUCCUUUAUGGAUAUGCAAUACAUCCUUCUAUCAUUGGAACCAAGACAUAAGUAUUGUUCCUUGCCCUUUGAGCGGUUACUGACAGGCCUUUGGCAGCAACUGGAUGGGAGCAGGCGCUGGUGUCAGGGCUUGUCCUGGGCCCAGAGGUGCCAGUGGCUCAGGAUGGGACAUGCACUCCUGUCAUCCUCUGAAUGGGUGAAAAGAGCUUAUGCAUCUCUUCACUUCAGGAGGCCUUUAUUAACCCCCCGGAGCUGUGCAGAGCACUUUUAUGAUGGAUGAAUGCACUUUUUCGACCCUCAUUCACUGCCAUUAUAAAACUUGGAAGAGCCAGGACAUUUUUAAAUAAAACUCCAGUUGUGUUUGUCUGAAAGAAGACA
ensembl:lncRNA